GAUGAACGCUGGCGGCGUGCUUAACACAUGCAAGUCGAACGGUGAAGCGCCUUCCUUUUUGGUGGGUGUGGAUGAGUGGCGAACGGGUGAGUAACACGUGAGUAACCUGCCCCCUUCUUCUGGAUAACCGCAUGAAAGUGUGGCUAAUACGGGAUAUUCUGGGUCUGUCGCAUGAUGGGUCUGGGAAAGAUAUUGUUUCGGUGGGGGAUGGGCUCGCGGCCUAUCAGCUUGUUGGUGGGGUGAUGGCCUACCAAGGCGGUGACGGGUAGCCGGCCUGAGAGGGUGGACGGUCACACUGGGACUGAGACACGGCCCAGACUCCUACGGGAGGCAGCAGUGGGGAAUAUUGCACAAUGGGCGCAAGCCUGAUGCAGCGACGCCGCGUGAGGGAUGGAGGCCUUCGGGUUGUGAACCUCUUUCGCCAGUGAAGCAGGCCUGCCUCAUUUGUGGGUGGGUUGACGGUAGCUGGAUAAGAAGCGCCGGCUAACUACGUG
rnacentral:rRNA from 1 species